UACGUAGGGUGCAAGCGUUAAUCGGAAUUACUGGGCGUAAAGCGUGCGCAGGCGGUGAUGUAAGACAGAUGUGAAAUCCCCGGGCUCAACCUGGGAACUGCAUUUGUGACUGCAUCGCUGGAGUGCGGCAGAGGGGGAUGGAAUUCCGCGUGUAGCAGUGAAAUGCGUAGAUAUGCGGAGGAACACCGGUGGCGAAGGCGGUCUGCUGGGCC
rnacentral:rRNA from 1 species